GACGAACGCUGGCGGCGUGCUUAACACAUGCAAGUCGAACGGUGAAGCGCCUUCCUUUUUGGUGGGUGUGGAUGAGUGGCGAACGGGUGAGUAACACGUGAGUAACCUGCCCCCUUCUUCUGGAUAACCGCAUGAAAGUGUGGCUAAUACGGGAUAUUCUGGGUCUGUCGCAUGAUGGGUCUGGGAAAGAUAUUGUUUCGGUGGGGGAUGGGCUCGCGGCCUAUCAGCUUGUUGGUGGGGUGAUGGCCUACCAAGGCGGUGACGGGUAGCCGGCCUGAGAGGGUGGACGGUCACAUUGGGACUGAGACACGGCCCAGACUCCUACGGGAGGCAGCAGUGGGGAAUAUUGCACAAUGGGCGCAAGCCUGAUGCAGCGACGCCGCGGGAGGGAUGGAGGCCUUCGGGUUGUGAACCUCUUUCGCCAGUGAAGCAGGCCUGCCUCGUUUGUGGGUGGGUUGACGGUAGCUGGAUAAGAAGCGCCGGCUAACUACGUG
rnacentral:rRNA from 1 species